rnacentral:ncRNA from 1 species
AAAACGGCUCUUUUAAGAGCCACCAAUUUUACAAAAGAAUUAACG